AGCGUAGACACUGUAGACUCGGGCCAAUAGGAGCGCCGAAACCCACUGUAGACGACCAACCGUCUGGUCGACGGAAGUUGCGUCACCAAAACAAAAACAACACAGCGAAGAAGCCGGCAAGUCCGCUAUUUUUUUUAAAUGGAAACUGGCAUUUCUUCUAUGUUUACGUGAAGUUACAGAGUCUGGAUUUAGCGGGAAUUACACGACGCUGAAUAGCGCAUUUAAGCCUUUUUCUUUGUGGUAAAUGUUAGCCGCGCGCUAGCCGACAUCUAAUGUAUUACGCCCAUUUCUAGUCUUUUCAGUGGCUACAACUGAUGAUCGCGGCAUUAGCAAUUCAUGUUGUAAAUCCAGACGCCCAUGCACCUCGUCAGCAGGCCUGGUGAGAAGUAUGGUCUUCACCAAACCUGCACACAGCAGCUGCUCAGCCGAGCCGCUGUCUUCACUCACGGACACGCGUCUUCAAGUCAACAUGGUGCUUUCCGUGGCUCGUUACAAACGAUCUGAGAUAUAUGAAGUAACAUGCCAUGUAAGGACAUCAGGAGGAACAGUGACAAAAGGAGCUGUGUGAGGCAGUGGAUCGCUCAGCAGCUGGAUUAAAAAGAGCACAGUCUACAAUCUCAGAUCAACACGGCCCUGCCCUCCAGCACUAUCAGCAACAGGAACAGCAGCUACCCCUCAACAGCAACAUUGUACCCCAUCAGGUAAAUCAUAGCCUACGUUUGCUUUGCAU